UAUUUUUAUAUUAUAAUUUUGUGUUACUUAGACAUGUUGAUGGAGUUGCUAGUAUCCUAGAAGUUUAUGGUACUUUACUCUCUUAAUUUUCAACUGAUAAUUUUAUUUACUUGUUAACUAUUAAACUUUUUAUUUCUUGAGUCACAAAAGAGAAGGUUCUUUCUAUUAGCACCACGAUAUUUUCUUGCCAUCGUUCCCACUGUGUCUUGAAUGGCUCAGUUUUGAUCCUUCCGAUGCUAAAUCAGGUACUUAAAAUCUACCAUAUUUUAUUGAGCAUGAAAUAUUAAAUAUUCAAUUACCGUAAGUGUUAAUUAUGUAUUAUCUUUAAUUAUUAUCAUGUAUAUUAAAUUAAAUUUAUACGAUCAACUAAUCAGUUAUUUUAAACAUAGGCAUAUAUUAGCAAGUGGAUCUGUUAAAACGAUAAAACAGUUCUACUAUGGGACAUUGAAAAAGGAGUCCCAGAUAUGAAGCUAGAUCAGUUUCACGAAAUUGUUGGAGCACUUCAGUGGCAUCCGAAGAAAUCUUACAUGUUACUGGCUGGGUCUGAAGACAAAACCGCAAAAUUAUUUGAAUGUCGAAUGAGCGAUACAUUCAAAAUGUGGGAAGCUACUGGAGAGGUUGAACGUGUCUUGUAGAGUCAUUUUGAGCCCAAUUAUUUCUUUAUAAGUAUUUUAAAUUAAUAGUCAUAGAAUUAAAUUUUUUAAUUUAAUUAUAAAUAUCAUUAUAAAUAAUUAAUCAUUGUAUUUUUAGUUAAGUACUAAAAAUGUAAUCAUUGAGUGCAUUAAUAUUUGGCAAGGACAGCAUUUAUGGGAAAUAAAAGGUCACGAAACAGAAAUAACGGGCUUGUCGCUUAGUUCUUCGUGUUCAGGAUUUUUGGUAACCUCAUCUGCAGAUGGAAUAGUUAAAGUAUGGGACGCAUUUUGAGCUCCCAGUUAUUGGAACCCGUUUGGGAAAUAGAAACAAGUCUGGGAGCUAUUCAGUGUCUUCAUUUAUCUCCAAAUAGUCAGUUUACUAUCGCUGUCGAUGGUGACCACAAAUCUCAUAAUUUCAAAGUCUAGGACCUCACGGAAAAUUUGAGUGGAACACUCUCGGUCACAAACUUUGAUUGAACCGGUCCAAAAUGAAGAAUCUGAUGCCGAAAACCCUGAAGAGAUGGAAACUGAUGAAUGAAUUAGAUUU